GACAUAGGUGGCGAACGUUAUACGGAAUUACUGGGCGUAAAGGGUGCGUAGGUGGUUUAAUAAGUUAUCGGUGGCAAAUCGGGGCCCAACCCCGUGGAAGUCGGGAAUACUAUUAGACUAGAGGGCUGGAGAGGUUAACGGAAUGGUUCAUGUAGGGGUAAAAUCCGUAAAUAUGAAUUGGAACACCAAACGGCGAAGGCAGUUAACUAUUCAGUUCCUGACGUUGAGGCACGAAAGCGUGGGGAGCAAGACGG
rnacentral:rRNA from 1 species